UACGUAGGGUGCGAGCGUUAAUCGGAAUUACUGGGCGUAAAGCGUGCGCAGGCGGUUUUGUAAGCCAGAUGUGAAAUCCCCGGGCUCAACCUGGGAAUGGCAUUUGGGACUGCAAGGCUUGAGUUUGGCAGAGGAGACUGGAAUUCCUGGUGUAGCAGUGAAAUGCGUAGAUAUCAGGAGGAAUACCGAUGGCGAAGGCAGGUCUCUGGGCUAUAACUGACGCUCAUGCACGAAAGCGUGGGGAGCAAACAGG
rnacentral:rRNA from 1 species